GAAAUGCGAUAAGUAAUGUGAAUUGCAGAAUUCAGUGAAUCAUCGAAUCUUUGAACGCACAUUGCGCACGCCAGCACUCUGGCGGGCAUGCCUGUUCGAGCGUCAUUUCAACCCUCAGAACCCCUUGCGGGAUCUGGCGUUGGGGAUUGGCAUCCAGCCAGCCCCGAAAUCUAGUGGCGGUCCCUCCGCGACCUCCCCUGUGCAGUAGCGAUACCUCGCAGCGGGACAGCGGUCUGACCACGCCGUAAAACCCCCAACUUCUCAAGGUUGACCUCGAAUCAGGUAGGAAUACCCGCUGAACUUAAGC
rnacentral:misc_RNA from 1 species